CAUGCAGUCGAACGGCAGCACGGGAGCAAUCCUGGUGGCGAGUGGCGAACGGGUGAGUAAUACAUCGGAACGUGUCCUGUAGUGGGGGAUAGCCCGGCGAAAGCCGGAUUAAUACCGCAUACGCUCUACGGAGGAAAGGGGGGGAUCUUCGGACCUCUCGCUACAGGGGCGGCCGAUGGCAGAUUAGCUAGUUGGUGGGGUAAAGGCCUACCAAGGCGACGAUCUGUAGCUGGUCUGAGAGGACGACCAGCCACACUGGGACUGAGACACGGCCCAGACUCCUACGGGAGGCAGCAGUGGGGAAUUUUGGACAAUGGGGGCAACCCUGAUCCAGCAAUGCCGCGUGUGUGAAGAAGGCCUUCGGGUUGUAAAGCACUUUUGUCCGGAAAGAAAACUUCGGCCCUAAUACGGCGGGAGGAUGACGGUACCGGAAGAAUAAGCACCGGCUAACUACGUGCCAGCAGCCGCGGUAAUACGUAGGGUGCAAGCGUUAAUCGGAAUUACUGGGCGUAAAGCGUGCGCAGGCGGUCCGCUAAGACAGAUGUGAAAUCCCCGGGCUUAACCUGGGAACUGCAUUUGUGACUGGCGGGCUAGAGUAUGGCAGAGGGGGGUAGAAUUCCACGUGUAGCA
rnacentral:rRNA from 2 species